rfam:Hordeum vulgare subsp. vulgare, WGS project CAJW01000000 data, contig: morex_contig_60474
UUUAUACUCCCUCCGUCCCAAAUUUCUUGUCUUAGAUUUGUUUAGAUAUGAAUGUAUCUAGUCAAUAUUUAGUAUUUAGAUACAUCCAUUUUUAAACAAAGCUAAGACAAAAAAUUUGAGACGGAGGGAGUAGUAA